rnacentral:lncRNA from 1 species
CUCAACUCCCACUAGCUUCCUGGGGGGAUAACAUCUCUGACUGUGUGUCACUAUAGUAACAGGUGCCUAAAGUUGGUUUUCAGGAACUAGUAUUACCAGAAAUGGAUCCCAAUCCAGACCACAGGAGAGGCUUCUUGGAUCUCAUGCAAGAAAGAAUCCAGGAUUUACAGACGAGCAACUGAGAUGCAGACAGAUUGAGGAAAUCUCUCAAAGUCACACCGUGAGUUAAAUGGUGGAUCUGAAGUUUAAUUGGAGGCUUAUUGCCUCCUGUGUUUAUCAUCUUGCCACUCUGCACUACUGAUUUUUCUAGAAGAACAUGGCAAACAUUCAGAUAUCUGACCUCUGGGGCUCCUGGAUGCCACUGUUCAGAGAAGAUGCCCAGAUCAAUACCAUCUUCAAGUCACUGACUCAUAAAACUUAAAGCUGAUCAAGCUCCUUCCUCUCAUUUUAAGG